UGCUUUUUUCAGCAUCACACACUGCCCCAGAAAAGUGUAUGGCACAGUCUUGCUACCUUGUGCUGGUCAUGUUUGUCCUGCUCUGUUUGUGUACAUUAGCGCUGCACGAAAGUUAGAGUGGAAUGUAUAUGUGUUGCAUAGCAUUGCUGCAUAUUAUGAAAAAUAACUCAGUAACACCUUUCUUACGCAGCCACACACUGUGCAACUAGCUGAUGCCGGAUAAGGCAGCUCGAUUUCCGCCACUCCUCCCAGAUAAGAAAAUAUUUUGUGUUCUUUGAAACAUAACUUGGCACCAGGGAAAUUAUCGCAAAAACCAGAAGCAUUGUAUUCUUUCUAAGCGUGUUGAUGUUGUUUAAAACAAACACAAGCUACUUUAUAUAAAGUGACUAUAUUAUCACAGGCCACAAAGACAGUGUGAUGUAUAGGUAUAGUUUAUCAAAAAUGCAGGUGUAACAUGAUAAGUUUAUUUUUACUAACUCAUAUUCAGACAAUCGCACAAAAAACUGUGCACAAGGCAACCACGAGUACAGUGGCAAUUCGGAAGACAUUGGAAUGCUGGUCUGUUGAAUCUGCAGUGAAGACACAGUGUGGUGCUUCAUCAUAUGAGCAGGAGUAGCAGCUUCAACCGAUGUUGCUUCAGUGCCACUGUUCUCAGAGGUUUCCGGCUUCUUGGUGGCUCAACACCUGUCCGAAUGAAUGAAUCUUCUCCCGCAAAAAAAAAACCAGCUGCCUAAACAUCUGUCCACGGAUCCUUCGCUGCUGAGGAAGAAAAGCCAGGUGCUGAAGUUGACGUCACAUACUUGCCUUCAUUCAGCGAGAUUUUCUGCAGGCAUUACAAGCAAUCAGUAAUCUUUAACAUGUGGUGGGUAUGUAGUCACAAACUAAUUCGCAUAUUGAAAUCACCACGUGAGAUAGGAAUUCUCUAGUUUUGUGUGUUCCCUUUCAUGUUUGCAACAAAGAAAGUCAAGCCCUUUAGUUCCCUGAAACAUUUCCCCCCAGAUUGGUUGUGAGAAUUUAUUAGAAGGCAGAGAGGUCAGCCGAAGAUAGUUCGCUGUGGAGUAGUUCAUGACAGUUCACGUAUCUUUGCCAGAACACAAAUUGUCCAUUCUGCAGUGCAUGCUCAUUUUUCCCACCUGUGUGUUUUAAAACUACGAAUGUUAUGGGCAGUUUCAUUCCUGUGAAAAGCCUGUCGAGACUCUUUUAUGCAUUAAGAGGCAACCUGCAGAUAUUAUAAUGAUAUACAUAAGAGCUUGUACAAUUGAAUGCAGGCCCGUUGCCAGAAACUUUUCAAGAGUGACCCACAGGCUUCUAAAAACCCGUAUUUUUAUUAGUCAUGUUUGGUAGAACACACCCCUCUAUCAAUUGUUCAAGUAGAAUCGGGCAAGGCCCUAGGAAUCUCUAAUUCUGGCUAUGGGCCUCGUUGAGCACUUGUAUAGGAGACAUGCACUGAGGAGUUGAUGACAAAUCAUGCAAAUUUUUUGUCAACCUUAAUUCAAAGUAGGCACACUGGUUUCUCUUAUGCAACUUUGUCUCUUAUAUGAGUGUAUCUUAUGUCGGAGUUCGACUAUAUAAGCAGAAUUUAUAAAUCCUCUUUAUUGACAUUAGCUAGGCAAGAGGAUUUCUAUGACAACAGCAACGAAGAAUGUUAGUACUCAUUUGCAAUUCACGAUGCUCUAUAAUACAGCAGUGUUUUAGAUGUUGCCACAAUCUCAAAGAGAUAACGAAGAGCAUAGGAGAUCGCGUUCUCCUGCAGUUUAUACGCUUAGGCCCAACAGUAGGAUUAGUACAGAACUUAUGCUGAAAGUUAUGCCUAACUAGAACAGAGCCCGGUCGAAAGCAGUAUGACUUAUUUCACACGAAAGCACACUGUGGUUCAUAAACACUUUCUUUUAUUACAAGCACGUAUUUUCAGAUGUUCACCAAAUAAGAAAGGGCACACUGACACAUGUGUACAACUACAUUUUUCGCAGCAUCUACAACGGGCUGCCACCUACCAAAGCAGUUUCACAGUGGACACAAAGAAACAGUAAAAUGAUUUAUGGGACACUAUUUACACAUCAUAUAUGUGCUAAUACACCAGAUUCUUUUUUAUAAGACAUUACCAGUUACUUUAUAUAAGACUUCUGAAUAGCGCUACACUUUGCUCAUAGAGUGACUCUUUUGUGAUAGUAUACUUGUGCCGCGUUUGCGGUUAUUAUUAAAAUGGAGUGCGCCAAUUACGUUUUCUUAGUUGGUUUUGAAGAGAUGCACUUAAAAGGUCCCUGCAAUGGUUAAUUGAAUAUGCGUUAGCAUUUCUGCUACAGCACAUUGUAAUAAUAGAAACCGUAAAUUCAGGUAUUCACCUUGCAUCUUCAGUGCUAAAAGCUACAAGCUUUUUAGCAGUGCUUUUUCUCGUGAUUCUAUCGAGAAUACAACAGUCACUGGUACACGAUUGAGCUGUAGCUAUUUUUCACCAUUACACUUGAAUCUUUCAAUAAAACAAUACUACCUA